UACGGAGGGGGCUAGCGUUGUUCGGAAUUACUGGGCGUAAAGCGCGCGUAGGCGGACCUGCAAGUCGGGGGUGAAAGCCCGAGGCUCAACCUCGGAACUGCCUUCGAUACUGCGGGUCUCGAGUCCGGGAGAGGGUGAGUGGAAUUCCUAGUGUAGAGGUGAAAUUCGUAGAUAUUAGGAAGAACACCAGUGGCGAAGGCGGCUCACUGGCCCGGUACUGACGCUGAGGCGCGAAAGCGUGGGGAGCAAACAGG
rnacentral:rRNA from 1 species